UGGGGAAUUUUGGACAAUGGGGGCAACCCUGAUCCAGCCAUUCCGCGUGAGUGAAGAAGGCCUUCGGGUCGUAAAGCUCUUUCGGCAGGAACGAAACGGCGAGCUCUAACAUAGCUUGCUAAUGACGGUACCUGAAGAAGAAGCACCGGCUAACUACGUGCCAGCAGCCGCGGUAAUACGUAGGGUGCGAGCGUUAAUCGGAAUUACUGGGCGUAAAGCGUGCGCAGGCGGUUGUGUAAGACAGAUGUGAAAUCCCCGGGCUCAACCUGGGACCUGCACUUGUGACUGCAUAGCUAGAGUACGGCAGAGGGGGAUGGAAUUCCGCGUGUAGCAGUGAAAUGCGUAGAUAUGCGGAGGAACACCGAUGGCGAAGGCAAUUCCCUGGACCUGUACUGACGCUCAUGCACGAAAGCGUGGGGAGCAAACA
rnacentral:rRNA from 1 species